rnacentral:rRNA from 1 species
UACGUAGGGUCCGAGCGUUGUCCGGAAUUACUGGGCGUAAAGAGCUCGUAGGUGGUUUGUCGUCGUUGUUCGUGAAAACUCACAGCUCAACUGUGGGCGUGCGGGCGAUACGGGCAGACUUGAGUACUGCAGGGGAGACUGGAAGUUCCUGGUGUAGCGGUGGAAUGCGCAGAGUAUCAGGAGGAACACCGGUGGCGAAGGCGGGUCUCGUGGGCAGUGAACUGACGCUGGAGGAGCGAAAGCGUGGGGAGCGAACAGGGA